rnacentral:rRNA from 1 species
UACGUAGGGGGCAAGCGUUGUCCGGAUUUAUUGGGCGUAAAGAGCGUGUAGGCGGCCAGGUAGGUCUGCUGUGAAAACUCGAGGCUCAACCUCGAGACGUCGGCGGAAACCAUCUGGCUAGAGUCCGGAAGAGGAGAGUGGAAUUCCUGGUGUAGCGGUGAAUGCGCAGAUAUCAGGAAGAACACCCGUGGCGAAGGCGGCUCUCUGGGACGGUACUGACGCUGAGACGCGAAGCGUGGGAGCGAACAGG